UGAAUGUUGGUGUCCAUGGACUAGCUCCUC
rnacentral:piRNA from 1 species